UACGUAGGUCCCGAGCGUUGUCCGGAUUUAUUGGGCGUAAAGCGAGCGCAGGUGGUUUAUUAAGUCUGGUGUAAAAGGCAGUGGCUCAACCAUUGUAUGCAUUGGAAACUGGUAGACUUGAGUGCAGGAGAGGAGAGUGGAAUUCCAUGGGUAGCGGUGAAAUGCGUAGAUAUAUGGAGGAAUACCGGUGGCGAAAGCGGCUCUCUGGCCUGUAACUGACACUGAGGCUCGAAAGCGUGGGGAGCAAAUAGG
rnacentral:rRNA from 1 species